UACGUAGGCAGCAAGCGUUGUCCGGAGUUACUGGGCGUAAAGGGCGCGUAGGCGGCUUUUUAAGUUUGGUGUGAAAUCUCCCGGCUCAACUGGGAGGGUGCGCCGAAUACUGAGAGGCUAGAGUGUGGGAGAGGAAAGUGGAAUUCCUGGUGUAGCGGUGAAAUGCGUAGAUAUCAGGAGGAACACCGGUGGUGUAAGCGGCUUUCUGGACCAUAACUGACGCUGAGGCACGAAAGCGUGGGUAGCAAACAGG
rnacentral:rRNA from 1 species